AGUCGUAACAAGGUUUCCGUAGGUGAACCUGCGGAAGGAUCAUUAUCGUAGGGCUUCGGCCCUGUCGAGAUAGAACCCUUGCCUUUAUGAGUACCGUCCGUUUCCUCGGCAGGCCGCCUGCCGAUGGACCCUAAAUCCAAACCCAUUUUCAUUACCUGUAUCAGUCUAAAAAUUUCAAAGCAAAAAUUUGAAAU
rnacentral:misc_RNA from 1 species